rnacentral:lncRNA from 1 species
UCUGAGGCACGUUAUCUGCGAGCCAGGCUGAGUUCUGCAUCCUGGGGGGCAGCACGAAGAGGUACUCGAAGGGCGAGAGAAUUGAAAUACAUCCAGGAGGAUUUUACCUGGCUUUGAAGGAAGGACAUGAUCCACGUGAGUGCAGAGGCAGUGGGAGAGAUUCCAGGGAAAUCAGGCUCAGGCUAUAUGUAGUUGUGAGUUUGUAUGUGUGGGAUGGGGAGAGACUGGGGGAGUGCUGCGAGGGCCUCUCACGGGAGAAAAGUGGAGAUGUCUAUUGGUCUCCAAAAGUGGGGACAGCUCACGAACAGCUCUGGAAGCCUGGGAGACGGCCGUGGAGCAGAGAGCCGAGUGCACAGGCUGCCCCUCCCCCAGCCACCCCAGCAAAGGAUUAUCCGGCCUAAAAUGCUGAUCCUGGCGAGGCUGAGGAUCCCUGGCCUACGGCGUCACAAGUCCAUUGAAGAGCGUUGCUGAGUUGCUGGAUGGAUAGAUGCUGACUCACAGUCCCCAGCUUCUUUGAAGUCUGUGGAACUGGUUAAGAAAUGCAGGAGGCGAGAAGGACAAACUCACGGCUACAACCUGUUUGAAACCUAAUUCUGGCCGCCAUCCAGGAGGCUCCGAGACGUGGUGUCGUGUAUUUAUCACACUGGC